rnacentral:snoRNA from 1 species
AACCCAUGGUGAGAGCACUUUCUGAGAAGGUCCUUGUAUCUCUCCCAUGCAUCGUAGAGUGUUUCUAAAUCCAUCUGCACAAAAGAAGAGAUAUUAUUACGUAAUUU